GGCUGUUUAGCUUAAUGGUAGAGUAUUCAUCUGAUAUCUGAGGGGUACGGGCUCAAGUCCCAUAGCCAUCU
rnacentral:tRNA from 1 species